AUUCUGAAUCACUUUAAGAGAGUACUUUGAGAACUUCUAUGUUUUUUAACAUUGCUUCACAUAAACCCACACUCUUCACAAUUCUCAAGGCCAAGCAAAAGACCAUGACCUCAGUCAAUCGGUCUUAUGGGCAAAAUCAUUCAAACUGCGUUAAAGAAAGUAAAACUUCCCUGCCACUGCACCAUGGAUUCAAAUAGACUUGUUUGCAAAUAUGUCUCUAGAACCUGCAAUGGCAUUGAUACAUAACUGGCAUGCAAGUGUAACAAUGUGUGAAAUGAAUAAAC